rnacentral:tRNA from 3 species
GGGCCUGUAGCUCAGUUGGUUAGAGCGUACGCCUGAUAAGCGUAAGGUCGGUGGUUCGACUCCACCCAGGCCCACCA